GACGUAGGGGGCCAGCGUUGUUCGGAAUUACUGGGUGUAAAGGGUUCGUAGGCGGUGCGGCAAGUUGGGAGUGAAAUCUCUGGGCUCAACCCAGAGGCUGCUUCCAAAACUGCCGUGCUUGAGUGUGGGAGAGGAGCGCGGAAUUCCCGGUGUAGCGGUGAAAUGCGUAGAGAUCGGGAGGAAGGCCGGUGGCGAAGGCGGCGCUCUGGAACGUUUCUGACGCUGAGGCUCGAAAGCGUGGGGAGCAAACAGG
rnacentral:rRNA from 1 species